rnacentral:rRNA from 1 species
ACAGGUGCUGCAUGGCUGUCGUCAGCUCGUGUCGUGAGAUGUUGGGUUAAGUCCCGCAACGAGCGCAACCCUUAUCCCUAGUUGCCAUCAGGUAAAGCUGGGAACUCUGGGGAGACUGCCGGUGAUAAACCGGAGGAAGGCGGGGAUGACGUCAAGUCCUCAUGGCCCUUACAUCCCGGGCUACACACGUGCUACAAUGGCAGGUACAGAGGGCUGCGAAGCCGCGAGGUGGAGCGAAUCCCAGAAAACCUGUCUCAGUCCGGAUUGAAGUCUGCAACUCGACUUCAUGAAGGCGGAAUCGCUAGUAACCGCGAAUCAGCAGGUCGCGGUGAAUACGUUCCCGGGCCUU